AUUGAACGCUGGCGGCAGGCCUAACACAUGCAAGUCGAGCGGAUGAAGGGAGCUUGCUCCUGGAUUCAGCGGCGGACGGGUGAGUAAUGCCUAGGAAUCUGCCUGGUAGUGGGGGAUAACGUCCGGAAACGGGCGCUAAUACCGCAUACGUCCUGAGGGAGAAAGUGGGGGAUCUUCGGAACUCACGCUCUCAGAUGAGCCUAGGUGGGGUUAGCUAGUUGGUGGGGUAAAGGCCUACCAAGGCGACGAUCCGUAACUGGUCUGAGAGGAGGAUCAGUCACACUGGAACUGAGACACGGUCCAGAGUCCUACGGGAGGCAGCAGUGGGGAAUAUUGGACAAUGGGCGAAAGCCUUAUCCAGCCAUGCCGCGUGUGUGAAGAAGGUCUUCGGAUUGUAAAGCACUUUAAGUUGGGAGGAAGGGCAGUAAGUUAAUACCUUGCUGUUUUGACGUUACCAACAGAAUAAGCACCGGCUAACUUCGUG
rnacentral:rRNA from 1 species